GUGUGAUACAGGUAUGAUAUAGGUGUGAUACAGGUGUUAGGUGUGAUACAGGUGUUAGUUGUGAUACAGGUGUUAGGUAUGAUACAGGUGUGAUACAGGUGUGAUACAGGUGUUAGAUGUGAUACAUGUGUUAGGUAUGAUACAGGUGUGAUACAGGUGUUAGGUAUGAUACAGGUGUUAGAUGUGAUACAGGUGUUAGAUGUGAUACAGGUGUUAGAUGUGAUACAGGUGUUAGAUGUGAUACAGGUGUUAGGUGUGAUACAGGUAUGAUAUAGGUGUGAUACAGGUGUUAGGUGUGAUACAGGUGUUAGUUGUGAUACAGGUGUUAGGUAUGAUACAGGUGUUAGAUGUGAUACAGGUGUUAGAUGUGAUACAGGUGUUAGGUAUGAUACAGGUGUGAUACAGGUGUUAGGUGUGAUACAGGUGUUAGGUGUGAUACAGGCGUUAGAUGUGAUACAGGUAUGAUACAGGUGUGAUACAGGUGUUAGAUGUGAUACAGGUGUUAGGUGUGAUACAGGUAUGAUACAGGUGUUAGAUGUGAUACAGGUGUUAGGUGUGAUACAGGUAUGAUACAGGUAUGAUAUCGGUGUGAUAAAGGUAUGAUACAGGUAUGAUACAGGUGUUAGGUGUGAUACAGGUAUGAUACAGGUGUUAGGUGUGAUACAGGUGUUAGGUGUGAUACAGGUGUGAUACAGGUGUUAGAUGUGAUGCAGGUGUUAGAUGUGAUACAGAUGUUAGGUAUGAUACAGGUAUGAUACAGGUGUGAUACAGGUGUUAGGUGUGAUGAAGGUAUGAUACAGCUGUUAGGUGUGAUACAGGUGUUAGGUGUAAUACAGGUGUGAUACAGGUGUGAUGCCAAUCUUAAAUCCUGUGUCAGAUGGAACUGUUUAUCCCUAUUCUGUUAAAA